UUCUCCCUGUAUACUGGGCGUAGCGUCCAGUACAAAACAUAGGUCAAAAUUAUAGCAAAACAUUUGACAACAUAAAGUUCUUUUUUGACUCUUUUAAAUGGAACAAAAAGGAAGUGCGGGGAGGAAAUGCAGUGGAUAGUGGGGCUGAUGUCAAACACAGUGGCCGGAGAUGAGUUCAGGAGCGGAGUUGAGGAACUGAAGUCAUCGGGGAAGUCUUGAAGUGUGAUGACUCCACCGAGCCAGCUGAGGAGUCUUUUGUAUGAACGGGAUGUGAUGAUCGGUCAUAACCUCAGAUCUUCAAAUGGUGGUCUGUUUAUAAUUCCAAGAGCUGAGCUUCAAAGAAAUGGUCCAGUUUAGCUCUACUCUCAAUAACCUAGGCAAAAAAGGCAAUAUGAGGUGUGAAGAAGAGGAAGCAGCCGCCAACAGGAACAGACCUGCAUAAUGGAGCCCUGUGCCUCUGAAUGCUGUGCUUCAUCUUAACACCUUUGAGUAUACAGGGAAGGCAGACAAGAUGUUAUAAUUGAACUGGGAAAGGUACGCACUGCUAAAUAUAAAGUUAACUUAGAAGGAAGGGAGGGAAAUCAUCUAAUAUAGUGAAUGAUGAAACCUAGGGGCAAGGCAAGGUAGUGUCAAAAUAUUUUGUUGCUCAGCACCAUAGCGAGCUGUUAUGAUUAGAGAUGUCAUUUGUUCUUUGCCAUCUGUGAAGGGUUAUUUCCUGCAUUGCACCCAAUGUUCUGGGAAAGGCUCAGUUUCCCC